GUAGUGUGCUAUGCCAAUCAGGUGUCUGCCCUACGGUGGCCAUCAAUAUGGUGAUGUCCCGGGAGCAGGGGCUACCAGCUUGUCUAAGGAGGGGUGAACUAGCCCAGGUUGGAAAUGGAGCAGGUCAAAGCUCCCGUGCUGAUCAGUGGUGGGAUCGAGCCUGUGAAUAGCCACUGC
rnacentral:SRP_RNA from 1 species